AUUGGUGCCUUAGGGAACCGAGAUACAGGUGCUGCAUGGCUGUCGUCAGCUCGUGUCGUGAGAUGUUGGGUUAAGUCCCGCAGCGAGCGCAACCCCUAUCAUUAGUUGCCAGCACUUCGGGUGGGAACUCUAAUGAGACUGCCGGUGACAAACCGGAGAAAGGUGGGGACAACGUCAAGUCAUCAUGGCCCUUAUGACCAGGGCUACACACGUGCUACAAUGGGACAUACAAAGGGUUGCAAGACAGCAAUGUCAAGUUAAUCCCAAAAAGUGUCUCGUAGUCCGGAAUGCACUCUGCAACUCGAGUGCAUGAAGUCGGAAUCGCUAGUAAUCGCAGAUCAGAAUGCUGCGGUGAAUACGUUCCCGGGCCUU
rnacentral:rRNA from 1 species